CAUAGGUCACGAGAUAUAUGGGAUGGCAAAGACAAUAUGGUUCUGAAUACGAGGAGGUGUGAUAGAAAGUUUUGGGACCUCGUAAAGAAACAUCCCAUCAAGCCACGAGUUUUAGAAGUGAUUAGACUAUCUGGAUUGUACGGUGUUUAUAGAUCUCAGCGGCCUAUUGUUGACCGUAGUUUGAUUACUUCAUUGGUGGAGAGAUGGCGUCCCGAAACUCAUACGUUCCACUUUAGGACGGGUGAGGCGAUGAUCACCUUCCAGGAUGUAGAGGUGUUGUAUGGUUUACCCGUGAAUGGUAAUCCAAUACUUGGGAUUGAGCAGACAAGGGACAAAGCGCAUUGGCAUAGUAUUUGUGCAAGAUUAUUAGGUUUUACUGCAGUUCUUGGACAUAGUUGCCUCAAGGUAUCUGCGAUUAAUACACAUAUGCAACGUCAGCUAAAGUUGCCGGACAUGGAAACAUAGGAUAUAGUCAAUCAGAUAGCUAGAUGUUGUAUGUUUUGGUUGAUUGCUGGUAUGUUGAUGGCAGAUACAUUCGGUAGUUGCUUAAAGCUUAUGUACUUGCCUAUGCUCGAGGACGUUAAUGUGAUUGGGUCUUACAAUUGGGCUAGUGCGACCCUUGCAUGCUUGUAUCAAUGUCUUUGUAAAGCCUCACAGGGUAACCAACAUGAGAUAGUAGGAUUCCUACCACUACUAUAGAUUUGGGCAUGGGAGAGAGUUACUGUCCUCAGGCCCCAGAUAGUAGCACCAACGGAUACGCAAAAUAGUUUUCCUGCUGGUUUACCUGGGGGUCCAUAUGCUACUAGAUGGUUUGCACGUUUUAGUUGGACCGACACUACCAAGCAUGUGUUGAAAGUUUUUAGGGACGCUCUUGAUUCUUUGACGGAGGAUGACUUUAUCUGGGAACCAUAUUUUGAUGAAUUAAUUGAGAGCCUUCCCGAUUAUUGUCGUGUUGGACGAGACAUAUGGCGUGCUAGAGUCACAAUCUUUUGUUGGGAUGUGGUCGAGGUUCACUUGCCUGAUCGAGUUAUGAGGCAAUUUGGGUUGAUACAGGAGAUACCAGCUCCAUUUCCAUUUGAUUCCACACAUUUUCACCACGAUCGUCGGGGAAGGCCGAAUACAAAUUGGGAGUUGGAGCAUGCACAAUGGUUGCCUUUUUGGAACGAACGGCGUCAAUGUGUUUUUAAUGCACCAGUGAAUCAUGAACCACUUCGGUACGAUGACCCCUGCCUUAUUUGGUUCUGACACAUUACUCGACUUGUUAUUGGUAAUCCUAAUCCACGUCCUCAGCGACAAGAAGGUUAUGUUCCUAAUUCAAUGGCAUAUGAAGCAAUGGUAAGUGGUGCAUAUUUAUUUUG